UGAAGUUUUCGGAUGGAUUCCUGGUUGACUGAGUGGCGGACGGGUGAGUAACGCGUGGAUAACCUGCCUCACACUGGGGGAUAACAGUUAGAAAUGGCUGCUAAUACCGCAUAAGACCACAGCACCGCAUGGUGCGGGGGUAAAAACUCCGGUGGUGUGAGAUGGAUCCGCGUCUGAUUAGCCAGUUGGCGGGGUAACGGCCCACCAAAGCGACGAUCAGUAGCCGGCCUGAGAGGGUGAACGGCCACAUUGGGACUGAGACACGGCCCAAACUCC
rnacentral:rRNA from 1 species